rnacentral:rRNA from 1 species
AUACGUAGGUGGCGAGCGUUGUCCGGAAUUACUGGGUGUAAAGGGCGUGUAGGCGGGAAUGUAAGUCAGAUGUGAAAUACCGUGGCUUAACCACGGGGCUGCAUCUGAAACUAUGUUUCUUGAGUGUCGGAGAGGUAAGUGGAAUUCCUAGUGUAGCGGUGAAAUGCAUAGAUAUUAGGAGGAACACCAGUGGCGAAGGCGACUUACUGGACUGUAACUGACGCUGAAGCACGAAAGCGUGGGGAGC